rnacentral:rRNA from 1 species
AUUGAACGCUGGCGGAAUGCUUUACACAUGCAAGUCGAACGGCAGCACGGACUUCGGUCUGGUGGCGAGUGGCGAACGGGUGAGUAAUGUAUCGGAACGUGCCCAGUCGUGGGGGAUAACGUAGUGAAAAUUACGCUAAUACCGCAUACGAUCUAUGGAUGAAAGCGGGGGAUCGCAAGACAUCGCGUGAUUGGAGCGGCCGAUAUCACAUUAGGUAGUUGGUGGGGUAAAGGCCCACCAAGCCAACGAUCUGUAGCUGGUCUGAGAGGACGACCAGCCACACUGGAACGGAGACACGGUCCAGACUCCUACGGGAGGGAGCAGUGGGGAAUGUUGGACAAUGGGCGAAAGCCUGCGCCAGCCAUUCCGCGUGCAGGAUAAAGGCCCUCGGGUUGUAAACUGCUUUUGUACAGAACGAAAAGGUUUCUACUAAUACUAGGAGCUCAUGACGGUACUGUAAGAAUAAGCACCGGCUAACUACGUGCCAGCAGCCGCCGUAA